UUCUGGCAGCGCGAGAGGGGCAUGUCUCACUUGAGAUUUGUCUGCCUCCUACCCCCCCUGCCUCGGUGAAAUAGUUGACCACAUCAGCAGCCGACUCCGGCUCGUCAUGUGGUUUCUCAUGUGAUGCUGGGUCUGCAGCACUUUGGAGCACGAGCCUUUGUGACUCGGCACUCAUGGACAGACAGUGGCGUUCAGGGACAGGAGAGGUUUUGAGGGGGUGGGGAGACCGAUAAACCGAGAAACGUCAGAAAUAAAAGUCGCAUGAAGUACUCUGAUCUCUGUAUUCCUUUUUUUUUUUUUUUAAAUUUGAUUUUAACUCUUGUUUUUCUUUUUAUGGUUUGUGUGUAUUUUUUGCACCCCCACAGGCGCCGAGCUGCGCUGUUUUGUAUUUUUUUCCCUUUUCUUUUCUUUUUUUCUUUCUUCUUCUUUUUUAAAUUCUGAAGCCAGACCGUCCUUCCUCACAGCUCCGGGGCUGCAUCGCUGUGGGCACCUCCGGCUACCCCGGCUACCUGAGCUGCUCCUGCCGUCCUCGCCCCGGCUUCACCCAGGUGCACCCGAUCCAGAAUCAGGCGACAGCGCCGGGCAGAAGAAGGACCUGCUGGCGGAGCGCUGGGCGAGGGGACGUGGAGGACUGAGUGAAGCCACUGAAGACCUGGGGUGGGACAGCUAGAGAGGAUGCCAAGGACCGGGACAGGGGCAGUUAGGAAUACUACACGUCCGGUGCCCACCGACGCUCCGCCGUGCAAGGGCUGCAGCCGCCCCUCCCGCGAGCCCCCAGCUUCGGCUGUGCCCAGGGAUUAGUCCGGGGGACAACCCUUGGCGCGAUGUGGUGGCAUCUCUCCUCAGAGUGGAGCUGAAGAUGGAUAAACAAGGGUUCCAGAGGAGCGAACCAAUGGAGGAAGACUGGCAUGGGAGCAAGCUGGGUGUUUGAAGAGCCCCAGGCUAAUCGCAGAGCAUCCAGGCCCUGGGACCCCCAUCUGCUGCUUAGAGCCGCUCGGAACAGGAGCCCCGGCAUCUCACAUCUAGAUAACUGCCUGUAAGCUGACGGAACUCCAAACUGGCGAUGACACAGUCACUUGUGGAGAGCCGUGUUGUCCCCAAAGAACUGGACAGCUGCCCUUGCACCCCUGACGAUGGAUGAGAAGCAGCAAGGGCAGCAGGUGGCCGGGCAGGCCAGGGGGUCAUGGCCGCGAAUGCAGCGAGCGGGCCCUGCUGGGGCUGAGGGCCGGGUAGGGCUCCGCACACCUCGGCCCGCAACCCCCUCCUCUGCCUCCUGCAGCCUCGCCCCUUGGACUCCCAGAUGGAAUCUGGGUUUGCCGCCCAUCCGGUGGUGAAGGCAGCAGGUCUUCACAUUCUAAGCUGCAGAUCCGAGGAGCUGCUGGUGUAAUGUUUAGUCAACGCUGCAUAACGCUUCAUCAACGAAUGCCCACAUACACGACAGAGGUCCCGUAAGAUUAUAGCCGAGCUGAAAAAUUCCUGUCGCCUAGCCACCUCCUAGCGGUCAUAGUGUUGUAAUGCAACACAUUGCUCAAGUGGCGGUGGUGUAAACAAACCCACCGCGCUGCCAGCCCUCCCCGAGUCUAGCGCAUAAUACUUGCUAGUGCUAAGAAACCACUGUUUAUGUAUUUACUACUGUUCUUUUAGAGUGUACUCCUACUUACAAAAAGUGUUAACUGUAAAACAGCCUCGGGUAGGUCUUUUGGGAGGUAUUUCAGAUGAGUGCAUUGUUACCACAGGAGACGACCGCUCCAUGAGUGUGGUGGGUCCUGAAGACCUUCAGGUGGACACGUGGGGAGGGUAGAAGACAGUGAUAUUGGGGAUCCUGACCCUCCGUAGGCCCAAGCUAAUAAUGUCUGUGUUUGUGUCUUAGCUUUUAACAAAAAUGUAUAAAAAGAAAAUAAAUAAAUAAUAGGUAAGGGCAAAGUACCUUACAGAAUAAGGAUAUUGAGAAAGAAAACAUUUUGUACAGUUGUAAAAUGUGUUUGUGUUUUAAGGUAUGUUAAUUCAAAAAGUCAAAAAGUUUAAACAAAUUAAAAAGUUAUAGUAAGCUAAGGUAAACUUAUUAUUGAAGAAAAAAAUUUUAAAUACAUUUUGUGUAGCAUAAGUGUUCACUGUUUAUAAAGUCUACAGUGGCCUAAAGCAAUUCCCUAUGGUUCCAUUCACUCCCACUCACUGGCUGACUCACCCAGAACGAUUUGCUGCUAUCAUGUGGUCUUAGUUAUAUGUAUGCAUUGUAUUUAUGAACUAUGUAUGAGACAUAGUGAUAAGCCUUUUCUUGACCUUAGUAAGCAGCUCUGACACGUAACUCUUUCUCUUCCUAUUUACAGACAAGAAUAUAAAGAGGCAGAAUAAUUAUGCAACUUGUCCAAAGUCACAGAUCCCUGCUGUUGCCCAUUAUAAUACAUUUGUUUUCUCCACUUUCCAUUUUCAUGUAACACAGAAAUUCUAUUAAUAUCAUCAUCCAUCCCCUAUUUGGCUAUUGCAGGAAUGGGGACUUGCCACCUCAAGAAGUAGUUUAUACUAGAAAAACAUUUAAUGGGUAUUUAAUCAUUACUCAUUUAAUUAAUUAGGCUCCAGUAGAAUUUUUUUCCAGUUGCUUUUACUUUUAUCUUAGGGAACUAAAUGAAUAGAAAAUAUCCAAAUAGGUCUUGUUACAGACAGUAGAAACCAUCUUCUAAUUUUUAUCUUUCCCAAUCUAAAAAUAAGUUAGUGUUUCAGCAAUUCCUUUAGUAACACGCAGAUUUUCAUCAUCUUGGUUACCUUUCUGUGGGACGGCCAUUACUCUUUUGCAUGAAACAAGAAGCUACAAUGAAACAUGGGAAUGUUGAUGCUAGAUUUGCAAGCAAUGAUAGUGGCUGUUCAAAGGAUGUAUCUCAGAACAUGAGAAUACUUGCUAUUCCAGGAAAUCUGGUUCCUGCCUUUCUCUUGUCUGAAUUGUUAUAUUAAUGAAUUUGCAAUAUUUUGGCUGAAGAACCAAUUCUGUUGUCUUUAAGGAGGGAACAGUGUCUGUCCCUAAUAUUUUUGUGGAAUUGUAGCCUAAAGUCACCACCAUCACCCCAAAGACUUAAAAAACAUAAAAGUUGAGUAAUGGGUUUCUCUGGCCUGCUUUGGUAAAUUUAUGUGCUCACAUAGCACAUUAAUUGCUUAGGUUUAACUCAAGACAAAUACUUGAAUGUUUAUUUUGACACUUGUAUUUGUGAAAUUUCAAAGCUGAUCUCAACCUUAAAAAACCAACUUCUCGGCAUCUCCUCCAGAUAGCAAAUGCAUAGCAAAUACUAUUGACUUCAAUUGUUCUAUAAAAUGUCAACUCAGCUUUUCUUUCACUCAUAGGAGCUAUUAAAAGAUUUUAUUUAAAAACCCUAAACUUGGUAAUGAAUGCUAAAUUCUUCUCUUACCAUUAGGUAGGUCACUUCCUAGCAGUCACAUUUUAAAAGAAUCUGCCAUUGAAAAAGUCUAUGUAUUUGUCUUGUACUAUGUAACAAGUAGGUCAGCGUAAAAACGUUCUAACAUAAUUAUACUGAUAAAGAAUACCUUGUUGUAAAUGAGCUGUGUUUGGAAAAUGGAAGUUAUUAAUCUGUAUUUCCUAGCACUGAGUCUAGUACAAUGUGUAUCUUAGUCCUAUGCAGAUUUGCAUGACAGAAAUAAAGCUCAGAAAAUCCACAA